rnacentral:sRNA from 1 species
UUGAUACAUUAACGCGAGCUAUCGGAUAAGAAAACAAUCUAAGGCUGCUUCAAAUCAUGCCUUAAACUAUUUUCUUAUCCGAUAGCUCGCGUUAAUUACUCUCUUAA